GACUGUGGACAUUCCUGUGGUUUGUAGGCUUCUGUUUUUUGGAAAAUCAAUGGCAGCUCACUUCAUUAAAGGACCUUCCCCUUAACCAAGGUGCUGACGCUGCUCGAGCUGCCAUAGCCUUCUCCUUCUUUUCCAUUCUGUCCUGGGCUGGCCUAACCCUGAAGGCAUGGCAGAGGUACCUCCUGGGGGCUGACUCAUCCCUGUUCUCCCAAGAUCAGUUGGACACUGGCCAUCCUCCAUACAGCACCGGAAUUGAAAACGCAGACACCUUUCAGAGUCCACCGUUUGCUGAAAACCUGGAUGCAGUCUCCUCGGGAUAUCAGAUGCCCCCAUAUUAAAGGCUGAAGGCCUUGCUUGACGUUUUAAAAACCACAGUGUCCCUUACUUUGGCCUAGAUAGUUUUCCGAUCCAGCCUAUCAAAUAUCUGAUCCGAUCUCAUUGCCUCUGCCUAUCAUCCGAGCCCUUUGCUCAAGCUGCGAGAUGCGAGGUCAGCCGAAAAGCACCUGGUCGACUUUCUUGGUCAGUGAUUGUGGGUGAUUUUCACAAAGAUUAAGUAAAAUGUUUCAAUAGUCUUGAAGGAUUUUAUCAAGAUGCAUUGGAGAUUUGAUAUUUAAACUGAAAGCUAUGUGGGCCAAUGAAAAAGGGAUGCUGGAAUACAGAUAUUUUAUCUGUGGUGCAGUGUUGUUCACUGGUUGGUUAGCUGCAAGAGUACUAAAGUGCUGUUGAAGAUCAUUAGGCUUUUCGUGUGCUAAACUGAUGUAAGGUAACCUUUCUUUUAGAUAAUAGUGCAGUGUACUCACUAUAUUAGUGGUGUUGUCAUUCCUGUAUUAAUUGUAGUAUGCAAGUUGGAAAAGCAGCCUCUUCCAACAUCAAAGCAUUUAUUUAGUGUUCUUAGAAACCUUCUUCAAUUUAUUUGCCGUACCUGUGAGCUCAUGAUUAGCUGUUCCACAACAUGUGCCAGAUUAUCUAGUUGUGUGUAACUGUAUAAAGCUUUAACUUGUUAAUCUUCAGAGCUAAGUGGGGAUGUGAACUUAAUCUGUACUCCUGCUUCCGUUUAAUUGCAUUGGUGACAAACUUAUAAACAUGAAUAGAAGAACUUCAAAACAAGUCUGCUGCACCUUUCAAUCGGUACCAUCGGAAAUAUUUUCAAAUACACUUUUAUACCUGUGAGUGCAGAUGUCUUACGAUACAAAUGAACAGCAUAUUACUCAAAAGUGGUAUUGGUUGUAACUUCAGUAAAACUUAGUGCCCCUCACUAUAUAAUCUAAGGUUCGUUGUGUGUCUUUUGUAUAGUGUAAUCAUUCUUAUUAUAGGUUACUUAAUGGAAUUGGACAUAAGCAAAUUUAGAGUAAAUUGUGGAUAACCAGAGGGUUAAACUCACUGCAUACCAAGGGACAGGGUCUUUAGGACCUCCCCGAGUGCGCCCAAAUUAUUCAGAAAAUGUGGCGUCAAAGUGUGCUUGAACCCUUCUGACUAGGAACAUCUGAAUGUAAUUAUGUACGAGACAUCCUUUUGAGAUGUGUAUGUAUACUGCCAGUCAGGUAAGUCUCAACUUACAAAUUGAACUUUAGCCUUUUCACCAGCAUGAAAGCUUUGUAUAACAAAAUAAUGCCAGAACAAUAAAAAGUGCAAUUUUGACUUUGUUACUAUCCCUGUGAGGGAGCCAUAAACCAAAAUAUAGAAAUUGACCAAAUGACACGCACCCCUCACACCUCCAUCGCCCAAAAAAAACUGAAGAAAUUCUCAAAAUAAAAACUGAAAGAACUGCGGAUGCUGUAAAUCAGUCACUCAACCCAAAGUGUUAACUCUGGUUUCUCUCCAUAGAUGCUGCCAGACCAGCUGAACUUUUCCAGCAAUUUCUGUUUUUGUUGUUGAAGAAAUUAUCAACAAGAUUUCACUCACUUAUAGCUUUUACAUUAAUGUGAUGCAAAUUACACAGGCUAAUUUAUACUUUAAAUAAGAAGGUAAAUUUCACUUUAAAUAGCUGAUAUACCAGAUAUAUUUUGCAUGACCAUAAUCAAUCACAUCACCCCCACUCCCUGCAACAAUGCAAUACUAUUUGCUUCUCGUUACACAACAUUCUGUACUUUAUCCAUAUAGAGGAGGUCCGGGAAACAAUACAACAGGUUUCAUCUUUGAAUUUCACAGGUAUGAUUAUCAUCAGUAAGGCACACUUCUACAAGCCUUUUUUUUUUUUAGAUCAUAACAUUCCUGAUGGUGUAAAUUUCCAGAGUUCUUUUUCAACUGACCCAAUAGCACCCUAAUUCACAGUUUGUCCGCUUGUCGGAAAAUGCCCAGUUCCUUUGUGUAUCCGAGCUAUUCCCGGAGCUUUCCAAUCCUAACCCUUUUAGCCAGCUCAGAGUACCUGUCAGAAUCCCUGCCUCCUUUACUACCAAACAGAAAAGACUCUUUUCUUGUAGCAUAGCUGCUUUGUUUUGUGAUAAACAGCUUAUUUUCCUUACUUCUACAAAGCCAAACUUAAGUAAAUAUUCUUUGAUUGUAUAAAUGUUUUAUAAAGGGUAAUAAAAAUUGCCACUCAUCUAAUAGAUAAAACUUGACUGUUUCUGUAAAAACAUUGUUAAGGACACGGUUUGCCUGCAUCGGCUGCAGUAGUGUAUUAACACAUUAGUCAAAAUAACUCCUAUCUAUUAGAAACAGCAAAUCGACGCAUCAUCUGCCAUACAAGUCCCGAAGGCCAAUAAAGUGCAAGGAAUUUUUUAAAAAAACAGCAAUCUCAGGAAACAUUCUUAGGAGAUUUCGACCUGACUUCAAAUGCUUUCAAGUGAAUUUGUAGAGCCUUACGUUACAGAUAACACAUCCAUAAAUAGCAUAAAAAAUUCUUUAAGACAUACCCUUUCACAUUAGUCACUUGUUUGCAUUAAGGGGUAUGGAAAAGAGUGUUCCACCCUUCCCAAAGAUCAGAUUUCUUUCCUCUUGCAAAUAGAGUGAAUAAACAUAUAUGCCAAAAGUUUGGUCAGCACCUUCUAGCACUCUUUGCAUCCAUUGUAACCCUGGAUAAGAUAUUCGACAUGUUUAUCAAUUUCUACAUGAAUAUAUUUUAACUGUGUUUCUACCUUAUUGUAAUUGUGCAUUCAUGUUUUCUGACCUAAUCUGAAUACAUGGCAAGUCUGAGAGACAAUAUCCUUUAUAAAGGUGAUGUUGCGGAUUGAAUUUGCGAUAAAUAUCAACGACUUCUCCACCCCCGCCCCCCCUCACACAACCGUGGUUUGUGGUAGCAGCUUCCACUUUGCUAAACCUUCCAUCUUUAUGUUCCUUUCUCCUAAUAUUGUCCCAGUUGGAAAGAAGCAACACCCCAGCAGUAAUCCUAUAUUGCAAUUCAUUUUUGUAGUUUCUGAGACAGGUGUCUCCAAAAGUGGUAGCGAGUACAAUUAGUCAAACAGAAUGUUAGUGGCUAUGAAGUAAGGGAAAGUUUGCCAGGAAACCAAUAUAGAAGCUGCUUCUCUCUGAAACUACUUUUAGACUGCAGCUGGAAAGUGCCAGUAACAAUUUGUAAGGUUUUAUUUUAAACAAAGCUGCAAAUUAACAUCACAGUGAGAUUUGAAAUGAAUAAUAGCUAUUAACAUGCCACCGAAUUUAUCCUUUAAUUUCAUUAUCUCACAGAAAUACAUGUGAAGUUUUUCUUUUGGGACUAUUUUAUUCACACACGUGAUUGUAGCCGAUUGGAUAGGUAUCACUAUCCAUCAAACCUAUUCCUGGAGCAAUGUGACCUAUGAUUUUUACCCUGUAAAUGAUGACGUUUGUUGUCACAGUAAUCCUGUUCCGAGCUUAAUUCCAAAAUCCUCUGGAAAUUAAUUUAAAGAUACUGCAGUGAGUGUAAUGACAGUUCAGGGACCUGAGAAGCAAAUUAGUCAUAUGAUGUACCUCAUCUGCAUGAAUUAAGUAUUGGGCAUGACCUGACUUGUAGAUAUCUGAGUCUUAAACCUGAGCACUUGAUCAGAAAGUUAAGUUAAGGAGGCAGUCAGCUACUGUUUUCAGGAACAUUCUAAGUCACAGUUUUCUUUUAAUUAACUUACCUAGAUGCUGAAACUAGUAACUACCAAAAAUUGCGGCAAAUGUAGACGUCUUUUGCCCUUUUCAUGGAUGUGAAAUGGGAGGGAGAAAAUGAUCCAAUUUCUGGAAUUAUAUCCCACAUUUCAGUAACAUCUGAGGCCCAUCUGUACUUCCAGCACAUAUUGGAUUGGGUCAUGGUCUGACCAGUUUCCAUAAAGGUAGUGUUUAAGACCAAUAAUGUUAAGACAAGUUUUUUUUUUUAUUAUGGUAUUACCUUUGUGUGGUGCAGAAUGAGCAGGAGUACUGCUGACUACACAGCUUAUCUGCGGAACCUUGAAGGGCUCUUGUGACAUAGCGGUAGUGUCCCUACUUCUGUGCCAGGUGGUCGGGGUUCGAAUCCCACCUGCUCCAGAGCAGUGUUAUCUAACAUUGAUGAAUAAUUCAAACCCAGAAGAGAUUCCAAUGAGGACAGAAAUAUCAAUAUGUGGGAAUUCAUCUCCUUAUUCCUUUCUCUUCCCAUGUACAAGCAAUGCUUCCCAGGUCAUCCCUGUGGCAACCCCAACUUGGUGUUAGCUAAGAAUUGUUUUUUUUUUAAAAAUCAUGGAACAGCAGAGCUUUUGAUUAACUUGAAUCGAUUACUUUGAAAUUACAUAUUUGAAUGCAGUCAUCUGCACAAUAUUUUUUCAGUCUUGAGUGGCUACAAUACCAGCAAAUGUGCAGUCAUCACUGAUUUAAUGGGGACUGAACCUUACAAUAAUCACCUUUUCCUGGAUUUUUUUGUUCAUAAACAGGAUGAGGGCAUCACUGGUUAGUCCAGCAUUUCUUGCCCAUCCCUAAUUGCCCAGAGGACAGCUCAGAGUCAACCACAUUGCUGUGGCUCUAGAAUCACAUGUAGGCCAGACCAGGUAAGGAUGGCAGUUUCCUUCCCUAAAGGACAUAGGGAACCAGAUGGGUUUUUUCCAACAAUCAACAAUGGAUUCAUGGUCAUCAUUAGACUCUUGAACUCAAAUAAAAAAAUUUAGUAUUAAAUUCCACCAUCUGCCUUGCGAGGAUUUGAACAUGGGUCCCAGGAGCAUUACCUGGGUUUCUGGAUUAACAGUCCAGCAAUAAUACCACUACGCUAUACUAGCCAUUUUGGCAUGUAGAUCGUUGCAAAUGUCCCAGGAAAUUGCCAGGCAGCAUGAGUACCGAUGUAACUCACUCGCACCUUUAUUUCCUGGUGCACUCCAACAGUAACAACUGACAUGCCAUUUAGCAUCAUCAAAUUCCUUUGCUCCAGAAUAAAGAUGAAACUGUAUUUUCCCGUUUGGAUCCUGUUCAGGGUGAGCCACUGUUAAGUUGAUUGACUGUGAAGAUGAAUUCAGCUCUCCUCCCUCCAUUGACUGCAUAUGCAUUGAAUUCGAAAUCCUUAUUCUUGUUUUUAAAUGCCGCAGGACAAGCUCAUCCCACUCUGUCCCUGUAAUGUCCUCCAUUGCUGUUUUCAGUUCUGACAUUCUGUGUACUUAUGCCUUUCCCCUACUGCAGUAUCAAUGACAUAUGUCUAAACUCUGAAACGCUCCUUCAGAUUGCCACUUUAGGAAGACUCCUCUCAAAAUUGAACUCCUUGAUGCCUUGAGUCAUUUCCCAUUCCUUUACUUGUACAACCCAAUGCCUUCUUCCCUGUUCUACUCUACAGAGCACCUUUUGAACAUUUACUCUUAAGUGCUUGAAAAGUGAAAGUUCUUGAUAGCUUCUUAAAGCUUUGUUAGUUUGCCUUUAAGUUUCUGUAAGCUGUUUACCAUAGUGCCAAAACCAGAAAGCACUUAGAGUCAUCUUUGAGUGUUCAUUAACAUAAGCCAUUUGUUGUAGUGAAUAAAUUCUUGUGGGUCAAAUUCCACUGUGUGUUACACUUAUCCCAAGAAUAGAGCCUGAGUAACUGCUUAUUGGAUAAUUGUAAAGCUUUUGCUUAACCCUUCAUGACCUCUAUUUGUACAGUCGUGCUUUUAUUGGUGCACUGCAUUGUCUGAACUUUCUGUUACUUUCCUUGUGUAGCUGGCUGACAAAAGCCACAAACUAAUUGUUGCCAAACUCAAGCACUUGGUGAUAUUUCAUGGAUAAGUGCAAAUUCUGUUAUUGUUUUGUUCUAUAUUGCUGCAGCAUAACGAAGAUGUACGAAACGGCCACGUUGUCACAAACAACUUUGUAGUUUCAUGUUUCACUUGUAUUUUCUUCUUAAUUUCAAUUGUUUUCUCUGAGUUAAAGGUUUCCGUUUUGAAACCAUCAAGCUGAAGCCACAAUUACGUGGAACACCACCCAUCCAAUUAAAAGUCCAUUGAAAUUCCACAAUGAGUAUGCGGACUGAGAAUUCAGUGUAAGAAAAAAUAACUUAGCCUUUUUGUUUAGAAAGAAAUGUAACCAAAUGGGUUGAUUGAUUAAUGAGAAAAGGAUAAAUAAUUCCAACCCAGAAGAGAUUCCAAUGAGGCAAGCUGGUGUACUUUGUGGUAAACCCCUCUUCACUGAAGAUCACAGUCAUAAAGUAUGGUACAGUAACAGUGAUGUUUAUACUGUGUUAAAAUGUACAAAAUGAGUGUAUGGCAAAAAAAGUACAAAAAUUUAAAAGUGAAUCGACUGUAUUUACAUUUUUGUUUACUUGUUCUCAAAGAACAAUGUUCUGUUAUUGUGACGAUCAGUAACCUUGUGCUGGUGUACAAUGAAUUCUCAAUAAAGACGUGUCAGUGCACAUAAA